CCUGAAUGCAUUAUAUGUACCUGAUUUCGUUCCAUAUCACUGACUCUAAAGAAGGUUUUGUUGCUCUUUAUAAGAAGAGAUUUCAUUCCAGGGCAGGAAGAAAUGUGUGUUGUAUAAGAACUACGUUGAUAUUGACGUUCAACUUGGCUUAAGGGAGGAAAAAAGUGGGGGCAGCAGAGGAAGAUGGAGAAGAAAUAAGAGGCAUGGGAGCGUCGAUGGACAGGAUUUGAUUAGAGGAAAAACAGACACCCCCCUGUCCUGGAAGAGACCCCAGGAGAAGUCUAAGGGCCUCUCAGCUCUGUAUCCUCCUCACAGCCCUCCUGAAGGCAGACGACCAUAUUCAGGGGGUACACACUCAAGUUCUCAUGCUCCCCUUGAGAGGAAACUGCUAUUGUAAGUGACAGCAACUCUCAGCUUCAUUGUCCAAACUCGGAAGUCACUUCUUUGGCACCACCUGCUGCUCUCUCUCUUUGGGGCCGCAGUCAUCAUAGGAGGUGUAGGAAGCAGCAAAACCAGAAUUCACCUAGUUCAGGCGGCAUCCUCUGUGUUCUUUGCUUUUAAGAAAAUAUUGCUGAAGGCCAUGGCACCCAAUGUGGAUUCUGCACCCCAGGUGUGGAAUGGAGCAUCUAUACUCCUAAGGAACCACCUGGAGCUCUCCACAGAGCAGUCCAUUAGAAGCUGGGGGGUGAGUCACAAACUCCUAUACUGUAGAAUGAAAACUGUCUUGAAUAAGAGGAGCAGAGAUGCUUGAACAUUCUCCUCCAAAGAGGAAGGCCAAAGGACUUGACAUUUAUUUGUUGAUCUUUAUGAUCCAUGCCUCUCAAGCAGUGUUGGCAAGUAUUAUCUAUCCCUAUUUACUAGGAGGGGAAACUGAGGCAGUCAGCCAGAAAGUAAAAUGAAUUUUCUAUAUAAUUAUUCUUAGCACCGUAUCAGUUGUUCAUGAUCAUUUUAGUGUAAUGUAUGUUUGAAUAGAAUAUGUUUAUCGAAUUCGUCAGCGUGGGUGACUUUGAUGCAACCGCAGUGUUCUUGGAAUGGUGUUUGGAAAUAUUUAGGAUUUUAGAAAACUUUUAAUUAUGUACUUAGAGCUAGCUAAGAGAAACGGUGACCUUUGGGUUGUUUUUAUUUUCAUUGUGGCUGUUGCUAUUACAGAAGUUAUUUCAGUAUUAUUAAUGCUUAGGAAAUCAUAGACUCUUAGGAAUUAGGAAAAAAAUCACUUAUGACUGAUAAACCUAAAUUCCAUUGAAAUGCCUUUGAAAAGACUUUUAAAGUGGUACUUCCCCCUUUUUGCCUUUUAGAAACUUUUAA
rnacentral:lncRNA from 1 species